rnacentral:lncRNA from 1 species
CUUUGGCUUGACUCUUUCUGGUGACACUGCACAGACGCCUGAAGAGGGCCACUCAGUUGAGGUCUGGCCACGCCUGCUUUGACCGGGCUGUGAGUGCUGCUGGCAGGGAUGUGCCUGCCUCUGGCUGGCUUUCAUCUCUGUGGGACAGCAAGGACAGGGCCUUUAGACUUCAGGAGGGAGUCCGCGCUCCGUCCUCAGAAGUUCAGUGGCUGGCAGCAAGCCCGGCAGCAGCACUUCCUCUGGACGAGCCUUUCCUGGGAGCGGCCUCUAUGGGAGGGCUGGCCCAUCCCUCCCAGAGCAGGGAAGAGGAGGGACUGGCAGAAACUGGCCGGGACUUCACUAGAGACAGCGGAAAAGAAAAGCCUUUUGUCAGAGAGAAACGGGCGCCCCUCUCCGCUCUGGCCAUGUGGCCUUAGAAAGACAAGGAAACUAAGGCCUCCUGGAGUUAACUUACUGGCUCAAGUCACUAAGAGACAGGGCUCACGCCAAAUUGAAGACUGGCCAUCAGCACCGAUGCCAAGGCACCCCACAGUCUACAGAAACGGUCUGAUGUCACCCCUGCAGCGAUUCCAGGACUCUGGUUUCCUGGGUCUGUCAUCCGGAUUGUCCCUGUGGGACUAACAGCCUGGGAAGCAGGGAGGACAACUAUUACCCACAGUGCUUUACCUAUGAGCACCUGUGCCAAUGUUCAUUUAGGAUAAAUUCUAAGAAAAAUUUCUCAGCUGAAGGGAAUGAACAUUUAAAUUUAAUAAAUAUUGCCAAAUCACCUUCUAAUAAUGUACCAAUUUGUACUUCGAGUAAUAAUGAGUUUCCCCUCACCCUCACAAACACAGCUUUCAACAAAUCUUUUGGACACUUUUUGUGAAUGAUGGAAAUUUCAGGUUUAUUUUGCAUUUUAUUUAAUUGGGAAUAAGAGUGAACAU